rnacentral:rRNA from 1 species
AUUGAACGCUGGCGGAAUGCUUUACACAUGCAAGUCGAACGGCGGCACGGACUUCGGUCUGGUGGCGAGUGGCGAACGGGUGAGUAAUGUAUCGGAACGUGCCCAGUCGUGGGGGAUAACGUAGUGAAAAUUACGCUAAUACCGCAUACGAUCUAAGGAUGAAAGCGGGGGAUCGCAAGACCUCGCGCGAUUGGAGCGGCCGAUAUCAGAUUAGGUAGUUGGUGGGGUAAGGCCCACCAAGCCAACGAUCUGUAGCUGGUCUGAGAGGACGACCAGCCACACUGGAACUGAGACACGGUCCAGACUCCUACGGGAGGCAGCAGUGGGGAAUUUUGGACAAUGGGCGAAAGCCUGAUCCAGCCAUUCCGCGUGCAGGAUGAAGGCCCUCGGGUUGUAAACUGCUUUUGUACAGAACGAAAAGGUUUCUACUAAUACUAGGAGCUCAUGACGGUACUGUAAGAAUAAGCACCGGCUAACUACGUGCCAGCAGCCGCCGUAA